rnacentral:lncRNA from 1 species
GAAACAAUUCUGCUGAUGGUGAAAGGUCCUGGCAGAGUCCAUGCAGUGUCAUCUGUGCAGUGGGGAUAAUAGCAGCACCAGCCUCAGCACUCAGAGAUGAACACUCAGCGAUCAAAGAUGAUGCUUAUAAAAUCCUUAGCCCACAGCCCUCACCUAGUAAGUGCACCAUAGUAUGUUAGGAGCUCCAGAAAUCUGGGGAAAGGCUCCCAUUGGCCAAGCCCAAGUCAGGGCCCACCUUUAGCCAAUCAUUGAUGUCUGAUUAAUUG